ACGGAGGGUGCAAGCGUUAUCCGGAUUCACUGGGUUUAAAGGGUGCGUAGGUGGGUUGGUAAGUCAGUGGUGAAAUCCCCGAGCUUAACUCGGGAACUGCCAUUGAUACUAUCAGUCUUGAAUACCGUGGAGGUCAGCAGAAUAUGUCAUGUAGCGGUGAAAUGCUUAGAUAUGACAUAGAAUACCAAUUGCGAAGGCAGCUGGCUACCCGAAUAUUGACACUGAGGCACGAAAGCGUGGGGAUCAAACAGGAUUAGAUACCCUGGUAGUCCACGCCCUAAACUAUGGAUACUCGACAUACGCGAUACACUGUGUGUGUCUGAGCGAAAGCAUUAAGUAUCCCACCUGGGAAGUACGACCGCAAGGUUG
rnacentral:rRNA from 1 species